GAUGAACGCUGGCGGCGUGCCUAAUACAUGCAAGUCGAGCGAGCGGCGGACGGGUGAGUAAUGUCUGGGAAACUGCCUGAUGGAGGGGGAUAACUACUGGAAACGGUAGCUAAUACCGCAUACCAUCAGAUGUGCCCAGAUGGGAUUAGCUAGUAGGUGGGGUAAUGGCUCACCUAGGCGACGAUCCCUAGCUGGUCUGAGAGGAUGACAGCCAACACUGGAACGGAGCCACGGUCCAGACUCUAAGGGGGGGCAGCGUUGGGAAAUAUUGAACAAUGGGCGCAAGCCUGAGGCAGCCUGGCCGGGGGUGUGAAGAAGGCCUUCGGGUUGUAAAGCACUUUCAGCGAGGAGGCGUUACUCGCAGAAGAAGCACCGGCUAACUCCGUGCCAGCAGCCGCGUAAUUC
rnacentral:rRNA from 1 species